rnacentral:rRNA from 1 species
UGCAAGUCGAGCGCACCCUUCGGGGUGAGCGGCGGACGGGUUAGUAACGCGUGGGAAUAUGCCCUUCUCUAAGGAAUAGCCUCGGGAAACUGAGGGUAAUACCUUAUACGCCCUUCGGGGGAAAGAUUUAUCGGAGAAGGAUUAGCCCGCGUAAGAUUAGAUAGUUGGUGGGGUAAUGGCCUACCAAGUCUACGAUCUUUAGCUGGUUUUAGAGGAUGAUCAGCAACACUGGGACUGAGACACGGCCCAG